GACGAACGCUGGCGGCGUGCCUAAUACAUGCAAGUCGAGCGGACGGAUGGGAGCUUGCUCCCAGACCGUCAGCGGCGGACGGGUGAGUAGCACGUGGGCAACCUGCCUGUAAGACUGGGAUAACUCCGGGAAACCGGGGCUAAUACCGGAUAACUCUUUCCCUCACAUGAGGGAAAGCUGAAAGAUGGCAUCUCGCUAUCACUUACAGAUGGGCCCGCGGCGCAUUAGCUAGUUGGUGAGGUAACGGCUCACCAAGGCGACGAUGCGUAGCCGACCUGAGAGGGUGAUCGGCCACACUGGGACUGAGACACGGCCCAGACUCCUACGGGAGGCAGCAGUAGGGAAUCUUCCGCAAUGGACGAAAGUAUGACGGAGCAACGCCGCGUGAGUGAUGAAGGUUUUCGGAUCGUAAAACUCUGUUGUCAGGGAAGAACAAGUACCGGAGUAACUGCCGGUACCUUGACGGUACCUGACCAGAAAGCCACGGCUAACUACGUG
rnacentral:rRNA from 1 species